rnacentral:rRNA from 1 species
GACGAACGCUGGCGGCGUGCUUAACACAUGCAAGUCGAACGGUAAGGCCCUUCGGGGUACACGAGUGGCGAACGGGUGAGUAACACGUGGGUGAUCUGCCCUGCACUUCGGGAUAAGCCUGGGAAACUGGGUCUAAUACCGGAUAGGACCACUGCCUGCAUGGGUGGUGGUGGAAAGCUUUUGCGGUGUGGGAUGGGCCCGCGGCCUAUCAGCUUGUUGGUGGGGUGAUGGCCUACCAAGGCGACGACGGGUAGCCGGCGUGAGAGGGUGACCGGCCACACUGGGCCUGAGAUACGGCCCAGACUCCUACGGGAGGCAGCAGUGGGGAAUAUUGCACAAUGGGCGCAAGCCUGAUGCAGCGACGCCGCGUGAGGGAUGACGGCCUUCGGGUUGUAAACCUCUUUCAGCACCGACGAAGCGCAAGUGGCGGUAGGUGCAGAAGAAGCACCGGCUAACUACGUGCCAGCAGCCGCGGUAA